ensembl:lncRNA
GUGAAAGAGCAGAUUAUUUACGGAUGAGAAGUAAAAAAAAAAAAGACGCCAGGUGCUAAAAAAUAAACCUUAGACUCAAAUGUUAGAACAGGGUUUUCCCCGCAGCACGCUGUGUAAUAAAUACUCACAAAGAAAACGGCGGCCGUUACAACUUAUGUCUAGAAAUGUAUAGUUUCAUGCAUCUGUUAAAACACUCGACUUCAGCUACAUGACGCGCAGCUGGAAACAAUUUCCGCAAGUCGAGCUGCCCGAGAUUCACAGAAUUUACAGAAAAUGUUACAUUUUUGUGAUUUAUAUCGUUAUCGGACGAUAGAAUUCUUAUAUCGGAAUAUGAGAUUUUGGUCAUAUCGCACAGCCCUAAGUGGCAUUGCAUUGCGUUAGAAAAAAAUAAAUACCCCAGUACUGCUGUAAAGUAGUCCUAUUUACUAUUUACCUUGGCAGAUAAGAUAAGAUAAACCUUUUAGUCCCACAAGUGGGAAAUUUGUGGUCACAAGUUAAGUGCAGUAAAGAUUAAGAAAUAAAACAAUUGAAUAGAAUAAGAUAAAAAAAAGAACAUACUAUACAAAAUAGAACAAAAUACUAUAUAAAUAAAAAAAAUACUGUACAAAAUAGAAUAAAAUACUUUGUUAUAUUGGGAAGAUUGCACUUGGUACUAUUGCACAUAGGAAGACAGAGCGAAAAGUUACCUGUGUGUAUGGGAUAUGUGUGUCUGCACGUGCGUGGUCACCCACAGAGACCAUGUUGUAGAUUUACUGUUAAGGUUAGUGUUAUGGCAGGCAGGAUGUUACCCAAAUGCAGGACUCAACACACACGGGGAUAACUCAAAGAGGCAGCUUUAUUUGACAAGGCAUGGAGACAUGAGGGAAAAACAGAGUCCACAACAUUGAAAAAACAGUUCUGGGGAUCGCCUGCGACGAGACAGUUCAGGAGGCCGACUGCGUUGAAGGCGGCAGCUCCAAAGCAGGUCCGGAGGCCGACUGUGUGGGAAGCAGCGGUGGUGCAGAAGGGACCCUCCAGGACCCCAACAGGGAAGAAAAUGGGAGUGGAAAUCUUCAGGUGACCUGGAAGGGGGCUGGUGUUGGUGUGGUUAGGUGGUUGGAUGUGGACAUGCAGGCAGUGCAGGAUGUAGAUGGGCAGGCGUGUUGACCUCUGGCAGAGAUAGAGCUGAACCUGGUGGCGGAGCAGAAGCCGAAGGCAGCUGAGCAGGUGGCAGUGUGGCAGCCGCAGGCAGUUGAGCGGACUCUCCAGAGCCCCCAGCAGAAACAGGCGGGGGUGUGGAAGCCACAGAUGGCUGGAUUGACUCUCCAGAGCCCCCAGCAGAGACAGGUACAGAACCAGACAGUGUGGAAACCUCUGGCCAAGCAGAACCAGGACCAGACGGUGUGGAAACAUCUGGCUGAGGUGGAGCUGGCUGGAGCUGCAUAGGGCAUGCAGCCGUCUCAGAAUGCAG